UAAAAACGUUCCUAUGAUGAGGAAAGUCAGAUAUGCUUGAGCAUUCUGUCCUUUUUAGGGUUACAUCUUGUGACACCGUGUGCUAUGUGACUGUAAGGUGUAACAUGAGGACUCAUUUACAUUUGUGUCAUGGUUUGAAUAAUUCUGAACAUAGAUACUGUGAUGCAAGAAAAAUGUCACACUUUGUCUGACACUGAAGUAUUAUCGUAGGCCAUUGUAUUGUAUCAUACUCAUACAAGAGGUUAGAUUUUCUUCUUUUUUGAAGCACAAGAUGCUCUUUUUCAGAUUUCCAGCAAACGUCUACAAUUAACAGUACUAGAUAAGGAUGCAUAGUACAAUUUAAUAGUACAAUUAAAGAUGCAUUUCUUAUCCUAACUUUUAACAAUUCAUCUUAAUCUCUCUCUCUCUCUCUCUCUCUCUCUCUCUCUCUCUCUCUCCCAGGUGUGUGGGGUUAUUUCCAGAAAUCACUUGUGAAACGUUAUGCUAGUGAGAGAAAUGGAGUGAAUGUGGUCGUUGGGCCCAUCUUUGACUAUGACUACAAUGGUCUUAGAGAUUCAGCAGAGACAAUAAAACAAUAUGUCAGUGGCUCUGUGCAAAUCCCAACUCAUUACUACAUUGUUGUUACAAGUUGUCUGGAUUAUACACAGACUCCUGACUCCUGUGCUGGCCCUCUAAGUGCAUUCUCUUUCAUUCUUCCACACCGAUCAGAUAAUGAUGAGACAUGUAAUAGUUCAGAAGACGACUCAAAGUGGGUGGAGGAAUUAAUGAAGACACACACAGCACGCCUACGGGACGUGGAGUUACUCACAGGACUAGAUUUUUAUCGUCGCACCGGCAGGACCUAUGAGGAGAUUCUCUCUCUAAAAGUGUACUUACACACAUACGAGAGUGAGAUCUAAACCACUGUAUCCCUGCCUUCGCAUUCCCUACAUCUUAACUCUCAGGAUGCAGAAGUAAGGUGUAUAUUUUUAUAGAACCUAUCAUAUUUAUUUUUGGUUGCACUUUAUUUUAAGGUGUCCAUGUUGCAGUAUAGUUGUACAUUUAAGUACUGAGUAGUAAUAUUUAGCCACAUGUACUUAGUAUAGGGUUAGAAAUAGGGGUUGGUCUAAUUAUGCACAAUUUAUAGUAAUUACCAUAGUUCCUACAUGUAACAUGUAACAAGGACACUGUGAAAAAAAGUGUUGCCUAAUUUUUUUUUAUUGCUAGUGCUUAAGUGUAUGUUUUUACAUUCUCCUACUUUAUGACUGUAAAUUAUACCCAUGAGUAAACGUUUUUUUUUUUUAAUGAAUUUUGUAAUACUGUAUAAAUGUGUUGACUGGUGAUGUUUAUAUGCUCAAAGUAACCUUUUUUUAAAGUCUGUAAAAAUUGUUCUAUUUUAAAAAUUUCUAAAUGUUUUGUUUCUGAUUUUAGGCCAUUAAAGAUUUUAGGUCAUUAGCAUGCUCGUUUUAAAGAGAAUAGCUCCGACUGGUGGUUAUAUGGCAGUUUGCAGGCUAUUGUCCAAAAAGAGAUUAUUUCUUGUAUAUGUUACUUUUGCUGUGCGCAAUGUUUUAUUUUAUGGAUCAUCAAUAAACAUAAAGCCUUGUGUUA